rnacentral:rRNA from 1 species
GACGAACGCUGGCGGCGUGCUUAACACAUGCAAGUCGAACGGGAAGGCCCUGCUUUUGUGGGGUGCUCGAGUGGCGAACGGGUGAGUAACACGUGAGUAACCUGCCCUUGACUUUGGGAUAACUUCAGGAAAUUGGGGCUAAUACCGGAUAGGAGCUCCUGCUGCAUGGUGGGGGUUGGAAAGUUUCGGCGGUUGGGGAUGGACUCGCGGCUUAUCAGCUUGUUGGUGGGGUAGUGGCUUACCAAGGCUUUGACGGGUAGCCGGCCUGAGAGGGUGACCGGCCACAUUGGGACUGAGAUACGGCCCAGACUCCUACGGGAGGCAGCAGUGGGGAAUAUUGCACAAUGGGCGGAAGCCUGAUGCAGCAACGCCGCGUGCGGGAUGACGGCCUUCGGGUUGUAAACCGCUUUCGCCUGUGACGAAGCGUGAGUGACGGUAAUGGGUAAAGAAGCACCGGCUAACUACGUG